rnacentral:rRNA from 1 species
CGGGGAUAGCCUUGCGAAAGCAAGAUUAAUACCCGAUGUUCUCACCGUUCCGCAUGUUACGGUGAGCAAAGAAUUUCGGUAUGCGAUGGCGAUGCGUCCCAUUAGCUAGUUGGCGGGGUAACGGCCCACCAAGGCUCCGAUGGGUAGGGGUUCUGAGAGGAAGGUCCCCCACACUGGAACUGAGACACGGUCCAGACUCCUACGGGAGGCAGCAGUGAGGAAUAUUGGUCAAUGGACGCAAGUCUGAACCAGCCAAGUAGCGUGCAGGAUGACGGCCCUCCGGGUUGUAAACUGCUUUUAGUUGGGGAUAAAAGGGGGCUCGUGAGCCCCGUAUUGUAUGUACCAUCAGAAAAAGGACCGGCUAAUUCCGUGCCAGCAGCCGCGGUAAUACGGAAGGUCCGGGCGUUAUCCGGAUUUAUUGAGUUUAAAGGGAGCGUAGGCCGGCUUUUAAGUCAGCUGUGAAAGUCCGCGGCUCAACCGUGGAAUUGCAGUUGAAACUGGAGGCCUUGAGUGCACACAGGGAUGCCGGAAUUCAUGGUGUAGCGGUGAAAUGCUUAGAUAUCAUGAAGAACUCCGAUCGCGAAGGCAAGUGUCCGGGGUGCAACUGACGCUGAGGCUCGAAAGUGCGGGUAUCAAACAGGAUUAGAUACCCUGGUAGUCCGCACCGUAAAC